rnacentral:rRNA from 1 species
CCGGUAGCUAAAUGCGGAAGAGAUAAGUGCUGAAAGCAUCUAAGCACGAAACUUGCCCCGAGAUGAGUUCUCCCUGAGACUUUAAGUCUCCUGAAGGAACGUUAAAGACGAUGACGUUGAUAGGCCGGGUGUGUAAGCGCAGCGAUGCGUUGAGCUAACCGGUACUAAUGAACCGUGAGGCUUAACCUU